rnacentral:rRNA from 1 species
CCUACGGGAGGCAGCAGUGAGGAAUAUUGGUCAAUGGACGCAAGUCUGAACCAGCCAUGCCGCGUGCAGGAAGACGGCUCUAUGAGUUGUAAACUGCUUUUGUACGAGGGUAAACGCAGAUACGUAUAUCUGUCUGAAAGUAUCGUACGAAUAAGGAUCGGCUAACUCCGUGCCAGCAGACGCGGUGAUACGGAGGAUUCAAGCGUUAUCCGGAUUUAUUGGGUUUAAAGGGUGCGUAGGCGGUCGGAUAAGUUAGAGGUGAAAUCCCGAGGCUCAACUUCGGAAUUGCCUUUGAUACUGUUCGGCUAGAGAGUAGUUGCGGUAGGCGGAAUGUAUGGUGUAGCGGUGAAAUGCUUAGAGAUCAUACAGAACACCGAUUGCGAAGGCAGCUUACCAAGCUACUUCUGACGUUGAGGCACGAAAGCGUGGGGAGCAAACAGGAUUAGAUACCCCGGUAGUC